UCACCCCCUCAAGCCCCGUGCUUGGUGUUGGACGGUUUGGUAGGGCGCCUACCCCUCCUAAAGACAAUGACGGCGGCCUCGUGGAACCCCCGGUACACUGAGCUUCUUAACUGAGCACGUAUCGGAUCAAGGGCGCCCGGGGCACGGUCUUCUCCCCCUUCAGGGAAAUUUUCUCAA
rnacentral:misc_RNA from 1 species